CCUACGGGAGGCAGCAGUGAGGAAUAUUGGACAAUGGACGAAAGUCUGAUCCAGCUAUGCCGCGUGCAGGAUGACGGCCCUAUGGGUUGUAAACUGCUUUUAUACAGGAAGAAAAACUCCGACGUGUCGGAACUUGACGGUACUGUAAGAAUAAGGAUCGGCUAACUCCGUGCCAGCAGCCGCGGUAAUACGGAGGAUCCAAGCGUUAUCCGGAAUCAUUGGGUUUAAAGGGUCCGUAGGCGGUUUUUUAAGUCAGAGGUGAAAUCCUGCAGCUCAACUGUAGAAUUGCCUUUGAUACUGAAAGACUUGAGUUAUUGUGAAGUGGUUAGAAUGUGUGGUGUAGCGGUGAAAUGCAUAGAUAUCACACAGAAUACCAAUUGCGAAGGCAGAUCACUAACAAUAUACUGACGCUCAGGGACGAAAGCGUGGGUAGCGAACAGGAUUAGGUACCCUGGUAGUCCACGCCGUAAACGAUGGAUACUAGCUGUAUGUCUACUUCAGGUAGAUGUGUGGCUAAGCGAAAGUGAUAAGUAUCCCACCUGGGGAGUACGAUCGCAAGAUUGAAACUCAAAGGAAUUGACGG
rnacentral:rRNA from 1 species